CAGCCGCCGCGGUAAUACGUAGGGUGCAAGCGUUAAUCGGAAUUACCAGGCGCAAAGCGUGCGCAGGCGGUUCGUUAGACAGAUGUGAAAUCCCCGGGCUUAACCUGGGAAUGGCGCUUGUGACCGCAAAGCUAGAGUGCGGCAGAGGGGGAUGGAAUUCCGCGUGUAGCAGUGAAAUGCGUAGAUAUGCGGAGGAACACCGAUGGCGAAGGCAAUCCCCUGGGCCUGCACUGACGCUCAUGCACGAAAGCGUGGGGAGCAAACAGGAUUAGAUACCCGUGUAGUCCCUGUCUCUUAUACA
rnacentral:rRNA from 1 species